rnacentral:lncRNA from 10 species
CUCCCGUCACCCAGGCUGGAGUGCAGUGGCACAAUUGUUACCGGAAAGGGAUCCCAAUCCAGACCCCAAGAGGAUUCUUGGACCUUGAGUAAGAAAGAAUUCAGAGAGAUGGUCUCGCUAUGUUGCCCAGGCUGGUCCUGAACUCCUGGCCUAAAGCGAUCCUCCUGCCUCGGCCCCCCAAAGUGCUGAAAUUACAGGUCUCAAACAAAAGUCUGGAACCUGGGAUUCUUUGUAGGAUAUCUGGCUGUGCUUUUGUAUUAUAUGAACCACAGAAAAUAAUCUUCCAGUAUGAUAUUGUUUUCAGUAUAGUACCUCAACCCUAAUUUUGCCUGGUAACCCUUUAUCCAGAGACCUUUUGUUUUCAACUUACAGUCUUAUUCUGGGGUGGGGGAUGUACAGUCUGGCUGUGUGGACUUGCAGGAGAGAUUUAGGGUUCUAACUUCUUCUUACUGACUUCCAACCAAUUCUCCUGUAUUCAGUCUUAUACACACCCCCACUUAUACUAGACGUAGCUGGUACUACCAAAGCCUGGUCACAAAACUCUAUGGGAGUCUCAAUGCAAGUUGAGUUGCUUCUUGACUUUCAUCCCUGCUGGCUUAAGACUCAGCUUCACAAGCCUGCUAAGUCAGUUGCUAUUUAUCCUGUUUUCUAGCCCUUCAAAAUUUUAAAUGAAAAUUUACAUUUUUAAUUGACAAAUAAUAUAUAUAUGGGAUAAAUAUGAUGUUUUGAUAGUAAUAGAUGU